rnacentral:sRNA from 1 species
GUUGGGUGCAGUGGUGCACACCUGUAAUCCCAGGGACUCAGGAGGCUGAGGCAGGAGGAUCCCAAGUUCAAGGUCAGCCUGGGCAAUUUAGUGAGACCCUGUAUCAAAAUAAAAAACAAAAAGAGCUAGGCUAGGGAUAUAGCUCCUCGGUGGUAGAGCACCCUUGGGUUCAAUCCCCAGUACUGCCACAUCCCCAGUCUUUUUCAUUUUUUGUUUAGAGACAGGGUCUCCCUAAGUUGAUUAGGGCCUUGCUAAGUUGCUGAGGCUGGCUUUAAACUUGUGAUCCUCCUGCCU